UAAGGGGUCUUAUAUUCAAUAAUGAUAUUAAAUUGCAAAUUUAAAGGAGUAUAAAAUACUAAGACUU
rnacentral:tRNA from 1 species